AUUCGAACACGGGAUGUCAAAGGUACAGGACGGCAGGGUCAGGGUCAGGCUCAGGGUGAGGGUCAGGGUGAGGGUCAGGGUCAGGCUCAGGGUCAGGGUCAGGCUCAGGGUCAGUCUCAGGGUCAGGCUCAGGGUCAGUCUCAGGGUCAGGCUCAGGGUCAGGCUCAGUCUCAGGGUCAGGCUCAGGCUCAGGGUCAGGCUCAGGCUCAGGGUCACGGAAGGCAGAGAGGUCAAAAAUGGGAAAACUCAAAUGCAAGAACUGUAGACAAGACAGGAGCGGGGGGGGGAUGCUGGUAGGUUUGAUGAACAAG
ensembl:lncRNA